UCUGACGAGGUGCAGAGCUUAGCUAAUUGGUGAACAGUGAUUGUUUCCCUCUUUGUUCACAGUGGCUAAGUUCUACACCUGAA
rnacentral:pre_miRNA from 12 species